CCUACGGGUGGCUGCAGUGAGGAAUAUUGGUCAAUGGGCGAGAGCCUGAACCAGCCAAGUCGCGUGAAGGAUGACUGUCUUAUGGAUUGUAAACUCCUUUUAUACGGGAAUAACAAGAGCCACGUGUGGCUCCCUGCAUGUACCGUAUGAAUAAGCAUCGGCUAACUCCGUGCCAGCAGCCGCGGUAAUACGGAGGAUGCGAGCGUUAUCCGGAUUUAUUGGGUUUAAAGGGUGCGUAGGCGGCCUGUUAAGUCAGCGGUGAAAUCUAGGAGCUUAACUCCUAAAUUGCCAUUGAUACUGGCGGGCUUGAGUGUAGAUGAGGUAGGCGGAAUGCGUGGUGUAGCGGUGGAAUGCAUAGAUAUCACGCAGAACUCCGAUUGCGAAGGCAGCUUACUAAGGUACAACUGACGCUGAAGCACGAAAGCGUGGGUAUCAAACAGGAUUAGAUACCCGAGUAGUC
rnacentral:rRNA from 1 species